UUGGGGCUGUCCGUGGGAGAGGGGCUCGGCCUACAGCCACCAUGGCUGGGCGCUGCGGCGUCGAGCAGAUCCUGCGUGCUCGCGCCCUUGGAGCAGGGAGGGCGCUGCUUGGGGGCUCGGAUGGGGGAGAGAAGAGCUCCUGUUCCUGCCCUGCGGCAAGGAACACAGGGAGGAAGAAGGCCGACGUCGAGCACCUCGCUGGUUUGCUGCGUCGAGGGGGCGAGUGGGGAGAGACGCUGGAGAAAAGAUAGCUGGUUGGGGGAGCUCGGCUGGAAGAGAGGGCGUCGUGGAGGGAGAGCAGAGGCAACGUGCCAUGGACGUCGGCGAGCUCACUGCUCGAGCUCGGACCAGAGGAGGUGUCACGCCCUGACUGGAGCAGAGGGGCUCGCGUCUGGUCCUGGCAGGUCGAGCUCGGCCAGGGGGGAAGAAGACUGGGAGGGCGCCAUUGGAGAAGGGGGCGCUGGCCUUGGUGCUCCCUGCGCAGGGGGACAGCAGGGGAGAGAAGAAGCUCGACCAUGGCUGCUGGAGGUGCUCGGCUAG
rnacentral:misc_RNA from 1 species